GUGAGGAUGAAGGCCUUCGGGUUGUAAACCUCUUUCAGUAGGGAAGAAGCGAAAGUGACGGUACCUAAAGAAGAAGCACCGGCUACUAUGUGCCAGCAGCCGCGGUAAUACAUAGGGUGCAAGCGUUGUCCGGAAUUAUUGGGCGUAAAGAGCUCGUAGGUCGUUUGUCACGUCGAUUGUGAAAAUCUGAGGCUCAAUCCUCAGACCUGCAGUCGAUACGGACAAACUAGAGUGUGGUAGGGGAGACUGGAAUUCCUGGUGUAGCGGUGGAAUGCGCAGAUAUCAGGAGGAACACCAAUGGCGAAGGCAGGUCUCUGGGCCAUAACUGACACUGAGGAGCGAAAGCGCGGGGAGCGAACAGGAUUAGAUACCCUGGUAGUCCGCGCCGUAAACGGUGGGCACUAGUUGUGGGAACCUUCCACGGUUUCCGCGACGCAGCAAACGCAUUAAGUGCCCCGGCUGGGGAGUACGAUCGCAAGAUUAAAACUCAAAGGAAUUGACGGGGCCCCGCACAAGCAGCGGAGCAUGCGGCUUAAUUCGACGCAACGCGAAGAAGCUUAACAAGGCUUGACAUAUAGCGAAAAGUGGCAGAGAUGUCAUGUCCGCAAGGGCGCUAUACAGGUGGUGCAUGGUUGUCGUCAGCUCGUGUUCGUGAGGA
rnacentral:rRNA from 1 species